ACACUUUUAGUUUAAUGGUAGAACAAUAGUCUUCGAAACUAAUAAUAUGGGUUCAAUUCCUAUAGAGUGUA
rnacentral:tRNA from 1 species